rnacentral:rRNA from 1 species
CAUGCAAGUCGAACGGUAACAGCAGAGCUUGCUCUGGCUGACGAGUGGCGCACGGGUGCGUAACGCGUAUACAAUCUACCUUAUACAGGGGGAUAGCCUUUGGAAACGAAGAUUAAUACCCCAUAGUAUUAUUGAGUGGCAUCAUUUAAUAAUUAAAAUUUCGAUGGUAUAAGAUGAGUAUGCGUUCUAUUAGCUAGUUGGGGAGGUAACGGCUCACCAAGGCGACGAUAGAUAGGGGUCCUGAGAGGGAGAUCCCCCACACUGGUACUGAGACACGGACCAGACCCCUACGGGAGGCAGCAGUGAGGAAUAUUGGACAAUGGAGGCAACUCUGAUCCAGCCAUGCCGCGUGCAGGAAGACUGCCCUAUGGGUUGUAAACUGCUUUUAUAUGGGAAGAAUAAGGUGUAUGUAUACACUGAUGACGGUACCAUAAGAAUAAGCACCGGCUAACUCCGUGCCAGCAGCCGCGGUAAUACGGAGGGUGCAAGCGUUAUCCGGAAUCAUUGGGUUUAAAGGGUCCGUAGGCGGAAUUAUAAGUCAGUGGUGAAAGUUUUUGGCUCAACCAAAAAAUUGCCAUUGAUACUGUAGUUCUAGAAUCGUUGUGCAGUGGUUAGAAUAUGUAGUGUAGCGGUGAAAUGCUUAGAUAUUACAUAGAAUACCGAUUGCGAAGGCAGAUCACUAACAACGUAUUGACGCUGAUGGACGAAAGCGUAGGUAGCGAACAGGAUUAGAUACCCUGGUAGUCUACGCCGUAAACGAUGGAUACUAGUUGUUUGGCUUUCGAGCUGAGUGACUAAGCGAAAGUGAUAAGUAUCCCACCUGGGGAGUACGUUCGCAAGAAUGAAACUCAAAGGAAUUGACGGGGGCCCGCACAAGCGGUGGAGCAUGUGGUUUAAUUCGAUGAUACGCGAGGAACCUUACCAGGGCUUAAAUGUAUGUUGACAGGUUUAGAGAUAGACUUUUCUUCGGACAAUAUACAAGGUGCUGCAUGGUUGUCGUCAGCUCGUGCCGUGAGGUGUCAGGUUAAGUCCUAUAACGAGCGCAACCCCUGUUGUUAGUUGCCAUCGAGUAAUGUCGGGAACUCUAGCAAGACUGCCGGUGCAAACCGCGAGGAAGGUGGGGAUGACGUCAAAUCAUCACGGCCCUUACGUCCUGGGCCACACACGUGCUACAAUGGUAGGUACAAUGAGCAGCCACUGCGUGAGCAGGAGCGAAUCUAAAAAACCUAUCUCAGUUCGGAUCGUAGUCUGCAACUCGACUACGUGAAGCUGGAAUCGCUAGUAAUCGGAUAUCAGCCAUGAUCCGGUGAAUACGUUCCCGGGCCUUGUACACACCGCCCGUCAAGCCAUGGAAGCUGGGAGUACCUGAAGUCCGUCACCGUAAGGAG